GGAAAAUAUCAUAUCUACUACCUACACUACAUUAUUAUUAACAUUAGGCAAACGGUGUAAAAGGGAACCUGUCAUCAACUUUAUGCUGCCCAUACUAACGGAAGGAUGAAGAAAAGGCAGUAGUUCUUCCGUCUUCUCCAUGCUGGUUACCCGGAGAAAGUCCUGUGCAAGAUUACAGAGCAAAGCAUGCUGGGCUUGGUUUGAAAAAACAGUAGGCAGAUGACGAAACAGGAAGUUCUGCAUGUAGACUGCAGCAAUGCAAAAAGAGAAGGAAAGCGCUGAAAAAAACAGGAUCAACUCACGUUUUAAAGCAGGGGUCUCCAGACAUGAGCUGCAUACUUAUCCCAACCUACAAAAAAUACACAGUGUAUGAAAGUAAAUCUAACUAUAGCACAGGGUAUGUCUACUUCCCAUCUCUGAUGCCUGCUCUGAAUGCAGCUCUGGAGUACAAUACAAUGCAGGAUCCGCCCAGGAAGAGUCACCGAAAGAGAAGACGUCAUCGGCGCAGGCGCACUGAGGGAGUGCUGAGGAGGCGAGCCUGCUUCUCUCAGAGCGCCUGCGAGGAAUCAAGACAGGCGCGCGAUUUUUGAAAUGCAGACAGGGCCAGCCGGAGGAGGAGAUCGCGGCUGGCCCUGUCAAUCAACAAGAGGAGGGGGCGUUUGGCCAUUACCCAUGCAGUGGCCAAACUGGCAUGUAAAACUGAGGUAUACCGUCAAAAGUGUGCAUCCACUGGCCACCGAAUGUUUGUCCUCACGUGCCCACCCCCUUAACAUUAUCACUGAACAAUGACAAGAGUAAUCCAGGUUUUGCCCGAGUGCGUACAUUAAAGUUGACAAAAAUUGUUCUACCGGCUCUUCAGAGAAAUGAAAGGACAUUGUAAUAGAAUAAGGGAUUGUAAAAAAUCUCACAUAUAUCUAACCACGGGGAUGAAAAAUCACUGUAGAAAACAAAAACGUAGACGCUAGCAGAAAAUGGUUUAUUGGCUGCCUGCCUCCUGGAGCUUGUCCAGUUCUUCAUCCAUUAAACCAAUAUCACACAGAACAUGGAUCAGUGCUGCACCGGUAA